rnacentral:rRNA from 1 species
AUUGAACGCUGGCGGCAGACCUAACACAUGCAAGUCGAGCGAGCGGCGGACGGGCGAGUAAUGUAUGGGGAUCUGCCUGAUGGAGGGGGAUAAUCACUGGAAACGGUAGCUAAUACCGCAUACACUCAGAUGUACCCAUAUGGGAUUAGCUUGUAGGUAAGGUAACGGCUUACCUAGGCGACGAUCCCUAGCUGGUCUGAGAGGAUGAUCAGCCAGACUGGGACUGAGACACGGCCCAGACUCGUACGGGAGGCAGCAGUGGGGAAUAUUGCACAAUGGGCGCAAGCCUGAUGCAGCCAUGCCGCGUGUAUGAAGAAGGCCUUCGGGUUGUAAAGUACUUUCAGUCGGGAGGCGUUACCGACAGAAGAAGCACCGGCUAACUCCGUGCCAGCCGCCGCGGUAAUAC